GUUCAGGGUUAGGGUGGUGGUUGGGGUUAGGGUGGUGGUUAAGGGUUAGGGUGGUGGUUAAGGGUUAGGGUGGUGGUUAAGGGUUAGGGUGGUGGUUAAGGGUUAGGGUGGUGGUUAAGGUUUAGGGUGGUGGUUAAGGUUUAGGGUGGUGGUUAAGGGCUAGGGUGGUGGUUAAGGGUUAGGGUGGUGGCUAAGGGUUAGGGUUAGGGUGGUGGUUAAGGGUUAGGGUGGUGGUUAAGGGUUAGGGUGGUGGUUAAGGGUUAGGGUGGUGGUUAAGGGUUAGGGUGGUGGUUAAGGGUUAGGGCUAGGGUGGUGGUUAAGGGUUAGGGUUAGGGUGGUGGUUAAGGGUUAGGGU
ensembl:lncRNA